AUACCCUCCCAAGGUGGGCUCCCAGGCCAUGAAGCCGGAGAAGGCAUCUCUGCUCCAAAUGUUUCAAUGCUUCCAUAUCAUCUCCGUCCCAGAGGCUAGCGCAGAUAAGAAGG